rnacentral:lncRNA from 1 species
AAGCCGACAGUAUUCUUGAGAAGACAAGGUUGCGGCUGCGCACCAGUUGGGAAGGACCUUGGCCAACUUUCGUGUGGAUCACCAUUGGAGGACUUCUACCUUGGGGUAUUGUAUAGAACACCAACAUGUCACUUUUUUAUUUUGGUUAAAGUAUAAUAUUCUAUCUCUUUGCAUGCUUGAAUUUACUUUGAUCAUGUUCGGC